UAAGGAUCAGAGAAAACUGUAAGCCAUCAAUGGGGGAGGCCAGCCUUCAGGCACAUUCAUGAUAUGGAGCCCUGGAAAAGCUCUGGAUUGAAGGCACCAGGCAUUUUUUACUGAAGUGUAAUAUACCAAUGGGAAAACACACAAACUGUAAUUAUACAUCUUGUUGUGUAUAAUUAUGUGCAAAAUGAGCCAUCCAUAUAACCAGUACCUGGAUCAAGCUGUAGAAUAUUACAAGCAACCCAGAAAUCCCCUUGUAUCUUCUCCCAGGCACUAUCUUCCAAAAGGAGAUGCAGAUUCGAUCCCUGGGUCGGAAGAUCUCCUGGAGAACAAAAUGGCAAGCCACUCCAAUAUUCUUACCUGGAGAAUCCCUUGGAUGGAGGAGCCUGAGAGGCUUUAGUGCAUGGGGUCUCAAAAAAUUAUCAGUCCAUUAUAAUGUUUGCUGGAUUUAUCAACACGUGAGAUUUCAGAAUCAACCCUCCUAAUCAGCCACCCAAUGCCUGGAGCCUGCUGUAACUACUUUAAUGAUGUUUAGUAAAUACUGUCAAAGAGAG
rnacentral:lncRNA from 1 species